UACGAAGGGGGCUAGCGUUGCUCGGAAUCACUGGGCGUAAAGCGCACGUAGGUGGGUCGUUAAGUCGGGGGUGAAAUCCCAGAGCUCAACUCUGGAACUGCCUUCGAUACUGGCGACCUUCGAGUUCGGGAGAGGUGAGUGGAACUGCGAGUGUAGAGGUGAAAUUCGUAGAUAUUCGCAAGAACACCAGUGGCGAAGGCGGCUCACUGGCCCGAUACUGACACUGAGGUGCGAAAGCGUGGGGAGCAAACAGGAUUAGAAACCCGAGUAGUCC
rnacentral:rRNA from 1 species